UGGGGAAUAUUGCACAAUGGAGGGAACUCUGAUGCAGCGACGCCGCGUGAGUGAUGAAGGAAUUCGUUUCGUAAAACUCUGUUCUAUGGGAAGAAAAGGACUGUACCAUAGGAGAAAGCUCCGGCUAAAUACGUGCCAGCAGCCGCGGUAAUACGUAUGGAGCGAGCGUUGUCCGGAAUUAUUGGGCGUAAAGCGCACGUAGGCUGCUUUGUAAGUCAGGGGUGAAAUCCCACGGCUCAACCGUGGAACUGCCUUUGAUACUGCUUAGCUUGAAUCCGGGAGAGGGUGGCGGAAUUCCAGGUGUAGGAGUGAAAUCCGUAGAUAUCUGGAGGAACAUCAGUGGCGAAGGCGGCCACCUGGACCGGUAUUGACGCUGAGGUGCGAAAGCGUGGGGAGCAAACAGG
rnacentral:rRNA from 1 species